GGCCUCGUGGCGCAAUGGUAGCGCGCUAGAUUUCGGCUCUAGAGGUUGGGCGUUCGAGUCGCCCCGUGGUCG